GCUAGAGUGUGUCAGAUGGAGGACGCAAUUCCGCGCGUAGCAGUGAAAAUGCGUAGAUAUGCGGAGGAACACCGAUGGUGAAGGCAGCCUCCUGUGAUAACACUGACGCUCAUGCACGAAAGCGUGGGGAGCAAACAGGAUUAGAUACCGUGGUAGUCCACGCCCUAAACGAUGUCAACUAGCUGUUGGGGCCUUCGGGCCUUGGUAGCGCAGCUAACGCGUGAAGUUGACCGCCUGGGGAGUACGGUCGCAAGAUUAAAACUCAAAGGAAUUGACGGGGACCCGCACAAGCGGUGGAUGAUGUGGAUUAAUUAGAUGCAACGCGAAAAACCUUACCUACCCUUGACAUGUCUGGAAUUCCGAAGAGAUUUGGAAGUGCUCGCAAGAGAACCGGAACACAGGUGCUGCAUGGCUGUCGUCAGCUCGUGUCGUGAGAUGUUGGGUUAAGUCCCGCAACGAGCGCAACCCUUGUCAUUAGUUGUUACGAAAGGGCACUGUAAUGAGACUGCCGGUGACAAACCGGAGGAAGGUGGGGAUGAAGUCAAGUCCUCAUGGCCCUUAUGGGUAGGGCUUCACACGUCAUACAAUGGUCGGGACAGAGGGUCGCCAACCCGCGAGGGGGAGCCAAUCCCAGAAACCCGAUGGUAGUCCGGAUCGCAGUCUGCAACUCGCAUGCGUGAAGUGGGAAUCGUUAGUAAUCGCGGACCAGCAUGUCGCGGUGAAUACGUUCCCCGGUCUUGUACACACCGCCCGUCACACCAUGGGAGUGGGUUUUAGCAGAAGUAGUUAGCCUAAC
rnacentral:rRNA from 1 species